rnacentral:rRNA from 1 species
ACGGGGAGCAGCAGGCGCGAAACCUUUACACUGCACGCCAGUGCGAUAAGGGGACCCCGAGUGCGAGGGCAUACAGUCCUCGCUUUUCGUGACCGUAAGAAGGUCUCAGAAUAAGUGCUGGGCAAGACCGGUGCCAGCCGCCGCGGUAAUACCGGCAGCACGAGUGAUAGCCACUAUUAUUGGGCCUAAAGCGUCCGUAGCCGGCUACACUGGUCCGUCGGGAAAUCCACCCGCUCAACGGGUGGGCGUCCGGCGGAAACCAGGUAGCUUGGGGCCGGAAGACCAGAGGGGUACGUCCGGGGUAGGAGUGAAAUCCCGUAAUCCUGGACGGACCACCGGUUGCGAAAGCGCCUCUGGAGGACGGACCCGACGGUGAGGGACGAAAGCUUGGGUCUCGAACCGGAUUAGAUACCCGGGUAGUCCAAGCUGUAAACGAUGCUCGCUAGGUGCGGCGCAGGCUACGAGCCUGGGCUGUGCCGUAGGGAAGCCGAGAAGCGAGCCGCCUGGGAAGUACGUCCGCAAGGAUGAAACUUAAAGGAAUUGGCGGGGGAGCAC